rnacentral:lncRNA from 1 species
AUGCAACGAGGUAAUCUAAAUUACCUCUCUACUUGUCCCGUGUUUGUAUAUUCAAAUGCCUCGGCUCGGAUUUAGACUUGUCUUUGUGAUGAGUCUUUACAUAAAAAUUUGGAAUGAUGGUAGUGCAUGCAACGAGGUAAUCUAAAUUGCCUCUUUACUUUUCCCGUGUUGUCUAUUCAAAUGCCUCGUUCGAAUUUAGACUCUUCUUUGUGAUGAGUCUUUAAAUAAAAUUUGGAAUGAUGGUAGUGCAUGCAACGAGGUAAUAUUAAUUACCUCUCUACUUGUCCCGUGUUGUCUAUUCAAAUGCCUCGGUUCGGAUUUAGACUCGUCUUUGUGAUGAGUCUUUAAAUAAAAAUUUGGAAUGAUGGUAGUGCAUGCAACAAGGUAAUCUAAAUUACCUCUCUACUUGUUCCGUGUUUGUCUAUUCAAAUGUCUCGGCUCGGAUUUAGACUCAUCUUUGUGAUGAGUCUUUAAAU